rnacentral:rRNA from 1 species
GGGGAAUUUUGGACAAUGGGCGCAAGCCUGAUCCAGCAAUGCCGCGUGCAGGACGAAGGCCUUCGGGUUGUAAACUGCUUUUGUACAGAACGAAAAAGCCUCUUCUAAUACAGGGGGUGCAUGACGGUACUGUAAGAAUAAGCACCGGCUAACUACGUGCCAGCAGCCGCGGUAAUACGUAGGGUGCAAGCGUUAAUCGGAAUUACUGGGCGUAAAGCGUGCGCAGGCGGUUUUGUAAGACAGAGGUGAAAUCCCCGGGCUCAACCUGGGAACUGCCUUUGUGACUGCAAGGCUGGAGUGCGGCAGAGGGGGAUGGAAUUCCGCGUGUAGCAGUGAAAUGCGUAGAUAUGCGGAGGAACACCGAUGGCGAAGGCAAUCCCCUGGGCCUGCACUGACGCUCAUGCACGAAAGCGUGGGGAGCAAAC